GCACCUUGAUGAGUUCUACACGCCACAUCCAUUUUUGGGUCACUAGGUCAAAGGUCAAGGUCACUGUGACCUCUAAUAUAAAACUUUAACAUAGGCUCUAAAAUCAAAGUGCUUCCACCUACAACUUUGAAACUUCAUAUGUAGAUGCACCUUGAUGAGUUCUACACGCCACAC